rnacentral:rRNA from 1 species
UACGUAGGUGGCGAGCGUUGUCCGGAUUUACUGGGCGUAAAGAGCGCGCAGGCGGUCGUGCAAGUCGCGUGUGAAAGCCCCCGGCUCAACUGGGGAGGGUCACGCGAUACUGCUCGACUCGAAGACAGGAGAGGGAAGUGGAAUUCCCGGUGUAGCGGUGAAAUGCGUAGAUAUCUGGAGGAACACCGGUGGCGAAGGCGGCAUCCUGGACCGGCACUGACGCUGAGGAGCGAAAGCCAGGGGAGCAAACGGG